rnacentral:lncRNA from 1 species
AAAUUUUAUUGGUAAAUUUUAUUUUUAUGGAAAUAUUAUUGUAACUCUCCCAAAUCAGAGGGGAGGAGGUGAAUGAAGACUCAGCAUACAUCGAAAGUCUCCUGGAAGAACUUCUCAAGACUGAGAGACCAACUGCUCUUCAGAAGGAACUUUCUGGUUUCUCAAGAUUCAAGCCUUCUUGGGCCCCUCCCUCGACAAGGAAAAGAUUCAGCUUGGCACUUUUCUUAUGGAAAAACUUCGAUUUAUCAUACUUUCAAUAUUUUGAUUUCAAAGUAUAUCUUCUUCCUUCCAAAAGUCUUCAUCACCUGCAGGUACUCAUUCAGAGAGUGCUGGACCAGUAAGAUGAGUCUUAGAUUGUGGAUGGCGAUCAUAGUUCCCUUCAAGCUAUUUCUAAACAAAGGUUCCAGAUGCCUUCAUGUGGAUAUGAACCUUGGAGAGUCCUGCAGAGACUAG